ensembl:lncRNA
UGGACUUUCACUCUGCUGAUGAUUCUUGAGAUCAAAGAAAACAGGAUUCUGUGAAGAAUGGAGGUGAUAAAUCAAUAAUAUAUUUCUGCACUGAAGCGAACCUGACCAUUAUAUCGGAAGCCACAGAAGUCACAGCAAAUGACCCAUCACAAGAUGAUAGGGAAGGUAGGCCUAAUUAAUUAUUUAAUUUUUAUUUGAUUGAUUGAUAUACUGUAUUUUUCAAUGUUAAGUAGUUUAAAAGAGUUGUGACUGAAUAAUA